rnacentral:rRNA from 1 species
CACGUAGGGUGCGAGCGUUUGUCCGGAAUUAUUGGGCGUAAAGAGCUCGUAGGCGGUGUGUCGCGUCGGCCGUGAAAACCUGCAGCUUAACUGUGGGCUUGCGGUCGAUACGGGCAUCACUGGAGUUCGGCAGGGGAGACUGGAAUUCCUGGUGUAGCGGUGAAAUGCGCAGAUAUCAGGAGGAACACCGGUGGCGAAGGCGGGUCUCUGGGCCGUAACUGACGCUGGAGGAGCGGAAAGCGUGGGGAGCGAACAGG